rnacentral:piRNA from 1 species
UACAUCUGUGGGCUCCACAAAGGGCAUGC